rnacentral:lncRNA from 1 species
AUAAACUCAAAACCCCUAAAUAAACUCAAAACCCCUAAAUAAACUCAAAACCCCUAAAUAAAGUGAAAUGUAGAAGUGGCCGGAUGUUGUAGAGGUUAUGUAGAAGUGGCCGGAUGUUGUAGAGGUUAUGUAGAAGUGGCCGGAUGUUGUAGAGGUUAUGUAGAAGAACAUUCAAAUGUAGAGGUUAUGUAGAAGAACAUUCAAAUGUAGAAGAACAUUGAAAAAAAAAACUAAAUGAAAUGAAGAACAUACCUUGAAGAUGACCUUCGAGGAUGACCGGAGAGAAGUGGCCGGAGGACGGACUAGAAGAUCGCCGGAGGGGUUUGGGGAGGGUUAGGGAAGAGUGGGGAGAAGUGGAGAGGAUUUUGGGGGAAAAGAAAAUGAAAGAAAUCUGGAUUUUUUUUCUUAUAUAAAAAAUUUCCGGCGGCCU